CACCCCGUCUGAUUCUAAUAUCUUUUCUUCUUCUGCUUUGUGCCUUGUUAACAGAUGAAGGAAAUGCAUACUGGUUAGUGAAACAUAACAAAUAGGAGGGAGAGUAGGGAGAAAAGCCCUUCAUCAAAAAGUUGGAGUUGACAACAGUUUUCCUGCCACGUGCCAUACAGAUUGCCAGGCAUGAUGUUGACCAAUGAAAUCGUCACCACUUCAUUGCCGCUGCGUUCACUUUUCUUCUCCAGUGUCCCUCACAGGCAGCUUGGGCCUCGUGUGUAUUUCGUCUUUGAAGAGCAGAAUAUCUUAUAGGAGCUCCCAUGGGACCGAAGGUAUGGUUACAAGGCUGGAGCAGGAGCUGCUGGGGAACUGUGUUGUGAUAACAGAGGCUUUGCAGGAGGAGACACACACGGCAUAAUGAACAGC
rnacentral:lncRNA from 1 species